AGAAUCAACGCUGGCGGCGUGCCUAACACAUGCAAGUCGAACGAGAAAGUGGAGCAAUCCAUGAGUACAGUGGCGACCGGGUGAGUAACACGUGACUAACCUACCCUCGAGUGGGGAAUAACUCCGGGAAACCGGAGCUAAUACCGCAUAACAUCGCAAGAUCAAAGCCGAAAGGCGCUUGAGGAGGGGGUCGCGGCUGAUUAGCUAGUUGGCGGGGUAAUGGCCCACCAAGGCUUAGAUCGGUAUCCGGCCUGAGAGGGCGCGACGGACGACGACUGGAACUGAAACACGGUCCAGACUCCUACGGGAGGCAGCAGUGGGGAAUUUUGCGCAAUGGGGGAAACCCUGACGCAGCAACGCCGCGUGGAGGAUGAAGUCCCUUGGGAUGUAAACUCCUUUCGAUCGGGACGAUUAUGACGGUACCGGAUGAAGAAGCACCGGCUAACUCUGUGCCAGCAGCCGC
rnacentral:rRNA from 1 species